UAUAUUUGCGCCGCUGAUGUCAGCAUACAUAAUAAUCAUUUAAAUAAUAUUGGAAUG
rnacentral:ncRNA from 1 species